CCCAAACUCGUGGAACUGUUUUGGGCAGCAACCUCGCGGUUAGCCGGUCACAAAAGACUUCCAUACUUUUUGAGAACCCCUGAACCGAUCUGGGUGAAAUUUGAAUAUGUUGGUCACCCAGAUCGGGGCUAUCAGGGGACAUAUUAUUUGUGGGGAUACCCUAUGCCUAAAGGGGUGUUUUAAAUAUUGGGUAAAACUGUAAUCUUUCUGCCCGGAGAUAAUCAAGUUAUUACUUUAUCAGACUUGAUUAUCUCCAGGACUAGGGGAGGGAAUUGUAUGUUUGUGCUGGGAGUGUUUUAUGUUUUCCUUGUAACUGAUUGGAUGUACUUUGUCCCUCCCUGUGGCAUAUGACUUGCAUAAAAGCCAG